rnacentral:sRNA from 1 species
GCUGGGCAUGGUGGUGUGUGCCUGUAAUCUCAGCUACUUGGGAGGCUGAGGCAGGAGAAUUGCUUGAACCCAGGAAGCACAGACUGUAGUGAGCCGAGAUCGUGCCACUGCACUCCAGCCUGGGUGACAGAGCAAGACUCUGUCUCAA